AUUGAACGCUGGCGGCAGGCCUAACACAUGCAAGUCGAGCGGAUGAAGCGAGCUUGCUCCUGGAUUCAGCGGCGGACGGGUGAGUAAUGCCUAGGAAUCUGCCUGGUAGUGGGGGAUAACGUCCGGAAACGGGCCCUAAUACCGCAUACGUCCUGUGGGCGAAAGUGGGUGAUCUUCGGACCUCACGCUAUCAUCUGAGCCUAGGUCGGAUUCCCUACUUGGUGGGGUAAAGGCCUACCAAGGCGACGAUCCGUAACUGGUCUGAGAGGAUGAUCAGUCACACUGGAACUGAGACACGGUCCAGACUCCUACGGGAGGCAGCAGCGGGGAAUAUUGGACAAUGGGCGAAAGACUGAUACAGCCAUGCCGCGUGUGUGAAGAAGGUCUUCGGAUUGUAAAGCACUUUAAGUUGGGAGGAAGGGAAGUAAGUUAAUACCUUGCUGUUUUGACGUUACCAACAGAAUAAGCACCGGCUAACUUCGUG
rnacentral:rRNA from 1 species